rnacentral:rRNA from 1 species
CCUACGGGAGGCAGCAGUGGGGAAUAUUGCACAAUGGGGGAAACCCUGAUGCAGCGACGCCGCGUGGGGGAAGGAGCACCUCGGUGCGUAAAGCCCUAUCGGCAGGGAAGAAAAGCGAACAGGUUCGCCUGGACGGUACCUGACUAAGAAGCCCCGGCUAACUACGUGCCAGCAGCCGCGGUAAUACGUAGGGGGCAAGCGUUAUCCGGAUUCACUGGGUGUAAAGGGAGCGUAGACGGCGGCGCAAGUCUGGAGUGAAAGCCCGGGGCCCAACCCCGGGACUGCUGUGGAAACUGCGGCGCUGGAGUACGGGAGGGGCAGGCGGAAUGCCUGGUGUAGCGGUGAAAUGCGUAGAUAUCAGGAGGAACGCCGACGGCGAAGGCGGCCUGCUGGACCGUGACUGACGUUGAGGCUCGAGAGCGUGGGGAGCAAACAGGAUUAGAUACCCGUGUAGUC